AUUGAACGCUGGCGGCAGGCCUAACACAUGCAAGUCGAACGGUAACAGGAAGAAGCUUGCUUCUUUGCUAACGAGUGGCGGACGGGUGAGUAAUGUCUGGGAAACUGCCUGAUGGAGGGGGAUAACUACUGGAAACGGUAGCUAAUACCGCAUAACGUCGCAAGACCAAAAAGGGGGACCUUCGGGCCUCUUGCCAUCGGAUGUGCCCAGAUGGGAUUAGCUAGUAGGUGGGGUAACGGCUCACCUAGGCGACGAUCCCUAGCUGGUCUGAGAGGAUGACCAGCCACACUGGAACUGAGACACGGUCCAGACUCCUACGGGAGGCAGCAGUGGGGAAUAUUGCACAAUGGGCGCAAGCCUGAUGCAGCCAUGCCGCGUGUAUGAAGAAGGCCUUCGGGUUGUAAAGUACUUUCAGCGGGGAGGAAGGGAGUAAAGUUAAUACCUUUGCUCAUUGACGUUACCCGCAGAAGAAGCACCGGCUAACUCCGUG
rnacentral:rRNA from 1 species